rnacentral:rRNA from 1 species
GCUUGUCUCAAAGAUUAAGCCAUGCAUGUCUAAGUACAAGCCUCAGUAAGGUGAAACCGCGAAUGGCUCAUUAAAUCAGUUAUCAAAUACGUGAUGGUCGCCUACUACAUGGAUAACCGUAGUAAUUCUAGAGCUAAUACAUGCAUCAAACCCCGACUUCUGGAAGGGGUGUAUUUAUUAGAUGGAAACCAAUGCGGGGCAACCCGGAUUCUGGUGAUUCAUAAUAACUUUCGGAUCGAUCCUCGGAUCGAUGCAUCAUUCAAGUUUCUGCCCUAUCAGCUUUGGAUGGUAGGGUAUUGGCCUACCAUGGCUUUAACGGGUAACGGAGAAUUAGGGUUCGAUUCCGGAGAGGGAGCCUGAGAAAUGGCUACCACAUCCAAGGAAGGCAGCAGG